GAUGAAGAACGUAGCGAAAUGCGAUAAGUAAUGUGAAUUGCAGGAUUCAGUGAAUCAUCGAAUCUUUGAACGCACCUUGCGCCCUUUGGCCAUUCCGAAGGGCAUGCCUGUUUGAGUAUCAUGAACACCUCAACUCUUCAUGGUUUUCCGUGAUGAGCUUGGACUUUGGGGGUCUUGCUGGCCUAUGGUCAGCUCCUCUAAAAUAAAUCAGCUUGCCAGUGUUUGGUGGGUAUCACAGGUGUGAUAACUAUCUACGCUUGUGGUUUUCCACCAGGUAACCUUCAGCAGUGGAGGUUCGCUGGAGCUCACAGAUGUGUCUCUCCUCAGUGAGGACAGCUCUUUGAAUGUUUGAUCUCAAAUCAGGUAGGACUACCCGCUGAACUUAAGCAUAUCAAUAAGCGGAGGA
rnacentral:misc_RNA from 1 species